UUACAACGGAGAGUUUGAUCCUGGCUCAGGAUGAACGCUAGCGGCAGGCUUAACACAUGCAAGUCGAACGGUAACAGGUGUAGCAAUACAUGCUGACGAGUGGCGCACGGGUGCGUAACACGUAUGCAACUUACCCCUAACUGGAGAAUAGCCUUUAGAAAUGAAGAUUAAUACUCCAUAAUAUUACAGAGUGGCAUCACUUUGUUCUUAAAACUCCGGUGGUUAGGGAUAGGCAUGCGGCCUAUUAGUUAGUUGGUGAGGUAAUGGCUCACCAAGACUUCGAUAGGUAGGGGGCCUGAGAGGGUUAUCCCCCACACUGGUACUGAGACACGGACCAGACUCCUAC
rnacentral:rRNA from 1 species